rnacentral:pre_miRNA from 1 species
CUUUGCGAUCUUCCACAGCUUUCUUGAACUGCUGCGUGAAUUCGAAGUGGCAGAACAGAUUGCUUGGGUUCAGCCGGAGAUCUACCGAUCGAGCAGUUCAAUAAAGCUGUGGGAAAUUGCAAAGA